rnacentral:rRNA from 1 species
GACGAACGCUGGCGGCGCGCCUAACACAUGCAAGUCGAACGAGCGAGAGAGAUCUUGCUUUCUCAAGCGAGUGGCGAACGGGUGAGUAACGCGUGAGGAACCUGCCUCAAAGAGGUGGACAACAGUUGGAAACGACUGCUAAUACCGCAUAAGCCCACGACCCGGCAUCGGGUAGAGGGAAAAGGAGCAAUCCGCUUUGAGAGGGCCUCGCGUCCGUGUAGCUAGUUGGUGAGGUAACGGCCCGCCAAGGCGACGAUCGGUAGCCGGACUGAGAGGUGGAACAGCCAGAUUGGGACUGAGACACGACCCAGACUCCUACGAGAGGCAGCAAUGAGGAAUAUUGCACAAUGGGGGAAACGCUGAUGCAGCGACGCCGCGUGGAGGAAGAAGGUCUUCGGAUUGGAAACUCCUGGUGUUGAGGAAGAUAAUGACGGUACUCAACAAGGAAGUGACGGCUAACUACGUG